UGGGGAAUAUUGCGCAAUGGGGGCAACCCUGACGCAGCAAUACCGCGUGAGUGAAGAAGGUUUUCGGAUCGUAAAGCUCUGUUAUUGGGGAAGAAGAAGUGACGGUACCCAAUGAGGAAGUCCCGGCUAACUACGUGCCAGCAGCCGCGGUAAUACGUAGGGGACAAGCGUUGUCCGGAAUCACUGGGCGUAAAGGGCGCGUAGGCGGUUUUUUAAGUCAGAUGUGAAAGGUACCGGCUCAACCGGUGACGUGCAUUUGAAACUGAAAGACUUGAGUACUGGAGAGGCAAGUGGAAUUCCUAGUGUAGCGGUGAAAUGCGUAGAUAUUAGGAGGAACACCGGUGGCGAAGGCGGCUUGCUGGACAGAUACUGACGCUGAGGUGCGAAAGCGUGGGGAGCA
rnacentral:rRNA from 1 species